UUUAUACUCCCUCCCUCCGGAAAUACUUGUCAUCAAAAUGGAUGUAUCUAGAUGUACAUCUAGAUACAUCCAUUUUGAUGACAAGUAUUUCCGGACGGAGGGAGUACGUG
rfam:Triticum aestivum genome assembly, contig: Triticum_aestivum_CS42_TGACv1_scaffold_406625_5BL